CCAAUAGCGUAUAUUAAAGUUGUUGCAGUUAAAAAGCUCGUAGUUGAAUUUCGGGGUUAGUAGGUUGGUCGUGCCACUGGUAUGUACUGGUUCUACUGAUCCCUCCUUCUUGUAGAACCGUAAUGCCAUUAACUUGGUGUUGCGGGGAAACAGGACUGUUACUUUGAAAAAAAUUAGAGUGUUUAAAGCAGGCUAACGCUUGAAUACAUUAGCAUGGAAUAAUGAAAUAGGACGUUCGAUCCUAUUUUGUUGGUUUCUAGGAUUGACGUAAUGAUUAAUAGGGAUAGUUGGGGGCAUUAGUAUUCAAUUGUCAGAGGUGAAAUUCUUGGAUUUAUUGAAGACUAACUACUGCGAAAGCAUUUGCCAAGGAUGUUUUCAUUAAUCAAGAACGAAAGUUAGGGGAUCGAAGACGAUCAGAUACCGUCGUAGUCUUAACCAUAAACUAUGCCGACUAGGGAUCGGAUGAUGUUAAUUUUUUAAUGACUCAUUCGGCGCCUUACG
rnacentral:rRNA from 1 species